ACCCAAUUACCCCAAAGCCUAACCAUUUCAUCCCUCACAACUGCACCUCCCUCUCCUCUCUCUCUUCCCCCUCUAUCAACACCAUGGCCUUAACAGCAACAGCCAUGAUUGUUGUCACCGCCCUCUUUAUUUUUUCUCCUUUUCUCUCUCCCCCUUUCUCUUUACCUCCGGCGCCACCACCACAACAACAGUCCACCCAUCGCCAACCCCUUCUCUCCUCUCUUUCUCUCUUUCUCUCUAGAAUCCGAUAGCACCAUAUCCUUCUCCAGCUGAGACUUAGGUCAGCGAGCCACUCCGGAGCCUUCUGUCUUCCUUGCUUCGCUCUAGCUGUUGAAGGCGACCACACUCGCCCCCACUUCUAUGUUCCCAGUCGCUGCCUUCAACCAAUGGUUGCCACUCAAUUGACAAAACUCCAAUAAAAGUCGUCGCUCCGUUCAUCGGUAGCCAGUGAACCGCCUAUCGCCGCCACCUUUCUAACAGGGUUUCGGAAAGUGUCUAUCAUUCUCCGCUGGAAAACAACACCAUACCCACGAUGCUAUUCCAAACUACGGCCAACUGACGUCGAAAAAGAGUAAAGUCCAUGAUGAAUCUCGGAAUCCGUCUCAGGCUUGUUGCUAUAUGUGAAUUUCCUCUUUCUACCCAUUUUUCCCCUGACUGAUUUUUUUCUUUGGAUUUAAAAAUUAAUGAAAUAUGACUGUGAAUUUUGAAUUGAUUCUUUCAAUUUCGUAUGUGUUUAUGUGUUUAGAUCAACAUAUGCAAGAAUGCCUAAUUUUUGUGAAUUUUCGUCAACCCUAGAUUUUAUUUAAUAUUAGGGAUCGAUUUUCCUAGGCAUGCAAUUCCAUUGUCUACUGUCGUGGUAACCUCACAACUUUGAUUCUAAAAAUUUGACUCGGUUGAUUGAAUUACUCGCAUAAUUACAAUAGUAUAUUAAUUCUUUUGGUAUAUUGUGAUUUUUGCCUGCUAAGCAUCUGGAUUUUAUUCUGAGUAGAUGGUUACUCUGAAUUAUGGUAAAUUGGACCUGUUUUGUACCAGUUUGAUGUGACUGUGUUUUUAAUUGUAUAUGGAAAAUAUCCAUCUGUAUCCCUAUUUUUACAGCUUGAUUAAUAUUUUUACCCUACUCUUGAAUUUGAAUAUAUAUUCUGACUUGUCUUUUAAGGUAAAUCGGAGAUGUUUAUUUUUUCUUAAUUGAUCUAUAAAAUAAUCUCCUUCCUUUUAUUUUCCUGACCCUUAGCUAUAUAAAUCACCGUACUUUGUGGAAAUAUACUGGUUGUGUUGUUAUUGUUGUUUAGCUAUGUGAACCCCCUCAUCUUCCCUUUUCAUCUACUUUUUCAUCGGCUAUUACAAGACCAAGUUUUUAACUAUCUUUGCUCUAUACAAAAGAAAUAAAAAUACUCUUCAGUUCUUUUGUCUCAGGUAAGUAUUAUUAAAAGGAAUUUUGGAUCGGUGUCUUAUUCACUACAACUGCUGUGUGUAGGUCAAAGUGCUGAUUUUCAGACUUUUAUUUAACUGCUUAUUGCUACAAACUGAUACUAUCUAGCCUUCGGCGUGGAUGAAGACUCACCGAGAAAUUGGAAAUGUUGUCUAGUUUCUUAUGUUUUUUUUAAUCUCUUUUGCGCUUUUUUUCUAUGGGUCUGAAAUAAUUUAUUGUACAAAUGACGUAUUGAUAAUAAAAAUUAUGGGACUGGUAGGGGGCGGGGUUUACGGGCUUUACGUGAUUAUGUGAAUCACUUAGGCAAAUGUAAUUUAGGAAUUAUUAAAUGAUAUGUUUGUCGCCUAGAAAGCAUGUUUUAGGUUAAUAAUUAACUUUACAAAUUAAAAUCGACUUCGAGCAUAUCAACUUUAACUUAUAACGUGUUUAACUAAUUUUUUUAGCACAUUUGAUUUAUUUUCAGAACUUUAAUUUAUUUUCUAGAGACUAAAUUAGUUUUCAGCAUAUUUGACCCAUUUGUCAGCAUUUAAAUCAAGUUUUAGCACUUUAAUUUAUUACCUAGCAUUUAAAUCAACUUUCAACAUAUUUAAUUUAUUUGUCAGCGGUAAAAUUAAAAUUCCUGCACUUUAAUUCAUUUUCCACAGUAUUUAGUUUAUUUUCUAGCAACUAAAUAAUGAGUUUCAGUAUAUUAAAUUACUUUUUCUACCAUGUUAAAAUGAAUCUCCAGCAUUUAAGAAAUGAAUUCAAGCAAUAUAAAAUUAUUUUUUCAGCAAUUAAAAUUAUUUUUUAGCCUUUAAAUGAAAUUUUCAGCAACUAAAUUUUAACUUUCGGCAUUUAAGUAGUAUUUUCACCAUUAAAACUUCAUUCUAUAUAACUUUCAUUUCCAGUAUUUAAUUUUAACGUCCAGCAUUUAAAUGUAUUUUCCAGCCUUUUUGUUGACUAAUUUUCAACAUGUCUAAUUUAUUUCCUUUAUGGUGAGAUUGAUCUAAUUCGCGAACAUAUUAACUUAACUUGACAUGCUUUUUAGUUUUAAAAAUUUCACACAUUAUUUUGAAAUGAUUUAAUAAUUAUUUUUCGAAAAUGAUAAGCAAAUAUUUAUCACUUUGUAUCAUGCAUAUAGGAUUUAACUAAUUAAUUUCUGACAUUAAUUGGUUGUUUGAUAAUUUUAGAUAUCAUGACUAUGGGUUUCAUUACAAAACAAAUAAUUGCUUGUCAUAAUUUUAAUCACCUAAUCUACUCUUAACUAAUCAAGAGACUUUAUUUGAGACGAUUUUGUGCUACGUGUUGUCCAAUGUGUUUAACUAGAACCUUGAGUCUAACUCGAAAGCCUAAUUUUCUUUGUCUAGAUCCCAAAUUCAAAGUAAAAAGUUCAAUGCCUCUUGGACAUUUAGGGAUUUUAGGGAAAACUAGUUUUAUCAUUUCAUUUAGAUUGUCUCUAAGCUUAAUAAACAAAUUAGGUAAGGGGGAGGAGGAAGGUGGAUAGACUUUAAAAAAUAAUGAAAGUUGACCAGAGCAUGAUUCGAUAAUGUGACUCCCGUUAAUAAGAUGCGUGUUGAUUUGAAUAAAAAUAAUAAAUUUUUGUCCAACCUGUUGAAUUUGUUGGUUCUUUUACCCACUUUGAAUAUUUUAAUUAUUUGGGGUAGUUUAGGUCCUCUUAUUUAGAAAAUACCUUUGUUAUAUUGACUA